GGUUCCAUAGUGUAGCGGUUAGCACAUCUGCUUUACACACAGAAGGUUCUGUGUUCACACUCCAGUGGAGCCA
rnacentral:tRNA from 1 species